AAAGCCUUUACCCACAGUGACUCCAGAGCCAUGCAAGCCAUGCGCGCCGCGCUGGGGCCCGCAGACAAUGCUUUGCACGGGUCAGCCAUGGGAAUGAUUUACAGCCGCUUCGGGCUGGAAUACCACAAAGCCUGGAGGGAGUGGCAAACCUUGCUAGCUACGAUCAUUCAUCUCUCCUGUCUCUUUCAAAGUGCUCGACACCCCUUUGAAAAGAAAUAGCAGAUUUCCUCCAUGCUUUGGGAUUCAGCACAGGCUGUGCUCCUCAAGCUGCAAGCAGAGAGGCUUUCCUCCCUGACCGUCGCGGUGUCAGACAGUACCAUGUAUUAUUAAAAUCCAAUUUCAACUUCUUAA